rnacentral:misc_RNA from 1 species
AAGUCGUAACAAGGUUUCCGUAGGUGAACCUGCGGAAGGAUCAUUACCAAUAUAGCGAACCGAGCGUUAGCGAGGUUUCGCGAUCAAAUUUGUAUUUAAAACCCAACUCUUUAAAUGUAUAUAUUAUUAUUGUAUUUUAAAUAAUAAAGAUCACUUUCAACAACGGAUCUCUUGGCUCUC